rnacentral:lncRNA from 1 species
GGGGCUUCUGGAGAAUUAGCUGCUUGCUUUCCUUGCUUGGCGUCUCUUGGAUAAAGACUUUCCUUUAUCAACACUGUGUCGGUAGUUUGGUCUUAUUGCGAGAGGGCGCGUAGACCCAAGUUUGGUUCGGUUACACCUCCGUCAUUUUGAUCACCAUCGCACACUUUGACCUCAGGUCAGACCAAACUCCUUGGGUAUAAUAAUGCUGCUGCUGCUGCUAAUAAUAAUAACUAAAUAUGCAAAUCUGCUAAUAAAAAUAACAAUAACUGUGCUCUUUGAGCACUAACUGCAACCCAGACCCUCUGCUAAGCACCUUUGUGGGUCAUCAUCCUUGUUCCGUCUUCAUAACCACUUUGUGAGGGAGACUGACUGUGACCCUGACUGUGAAAUCUGUAUUCCUGAUAGAAUUAUAUAGAUACAAUCUUCUACUAAUAGCAGCACUUUGGCUUAGUGGUGGCUGGAUCUGUAUUAAUAUUUUGGGUCUUAAUUGGUGACUGAAUCGACAGGAAACCCAAAAAGAAAGAAGGGAGCUGGAACAGUUCUGGCACUGCUGGCUCACCGUGUCUUCCAUCCACCCUGUGUGCCGUGAGAGUAAACGUCAGAGGCAAGACGCGAAUGCCCUUCAGUGAGUCAUCUCUGGGUGGUCCUGCUCACUGAUUUGGGAUCUAACUAAUCUUUAAGCAGUGUUCUCCUCACCCGUAAUUUUCAAAUCAGAGCCUAAAUCUCACAGACAUGAAGGCAAUGGAACAGCAGCGUCUCUGUCUGCAAGGUGGUCUGCUAUGCAGUUAUGAUCACUCUGGUGGCCUUGGCGAACCUGGCCAGCAUGGCACUGACCAUCACCAUUCGGAGAGACUGGGUUGUGAGCCAGGUGACAGCAGAGGCCAGCUGGCUGGUGAGCUGUGCCACCCCAAGACACAACGGAGCAUCACAGCUUCUCUAAUCUGCUGAGAAGUAGGUCUGGUGUGGUGAAUAGAGUUUGGGUGCUCUGAGAAAUGCAGUACUGUAGCCUUUAAGAGAACGUAUUUGGGAGUUCCUUUUGUGGCUCAGUGGGUUAAGAACCCAUUAGUAUCCAUGAGGAUGCAGGUUUGAUUCCUGGCCUCACUCAGUGGGUUAGGGAUCCGGCAUUGACACAAGCUGUGGUAUAGGUUGCAGAUGCAGCUUGGAUCUGGCAUGGCUGUGGUGUAGGCCAGUGGCUGCAACUUUGAUUCAGCCCCUAUCCUGGGAACUUCUAUAUGCUGUAGGUGAAGCCCUAAAAAGCAAAAAGAAAAAAAAAGAAAAGAGAGAGAAAGAAGGUAUUUGGAGUCAAAGAGACCUGGACUUGAAUCCAGCCAAAACCAACUACGGCUCCUACCAGCUGCAAGUUAACUAACUUCCCUAGACUUUACUUUGCUCAUCUGUAGAAUGGGGAAAUUAUGACAACCCCCCACCUUGCCAUCACUCAGUUUGGGGAAGGCUUCUGUGACAUAGGGGAUUUGUGAAGCACUUAGCAUUGUAUCUGCAUGUAGGAAGCACAGAAGAAAUGGAUGAUGCCAUUAUUAUCAAAAAGAUGUACAGAGUGUACUUUGGGGAGAGGAGCCCCUUUGAAUAUAUUACAGAGGUUCUUUUUGGUAGUUUUAGAGUUGGAAAAUAAAUUACAAGAUUUCUUAAUUCUGGCCA